GGAAAACACAAUGUGGAAUAGGGAAGGAACGACUAAGAGCACAUCCAUAGGAAAACACAAUGUGGAAUAGGGAAGGAACGACUAACAGCACAUCCAUAGGAAAACACAAUGUGGAAUAGGGAAGGAACGACUAACAGCACAUCCAUAGGAAAACACAAUGUGGAAUAGGGAAGGAACGACUAACAGCACAUCCAUAGGAAAACACAAUGUGGAAUAGGGAAGGAACGACUAACAGCACAUCCAUAGGAAAACACAAUGUGGAAUAGGGAAGGAACGACUAACAGCACAUCCAUAGGAAUACACAAUGUGGAAUAGGGAAGGAACGACUUGUGGUCAGGCUUGUGCCGGAUAGGAAGAUGAGGACCCCAAAUAUACAUCUGAAGAGUAAGAGAGGAGAGUAAACUGAUACAAUGAAAAGAGAGGGAUGAGAGAGGAGAGGUCAUAAUGAGGGAAAUUAUAGUGUGUCUGUGUUGGUGGUGUUUGUGUUGGAGGUGUCUGUGUUGGAGGUGCCUGUGUUGGAGGUGUGUGUCUGUGUUAGAGGUGUCUGUGUUGGAGGUGUCUGUGUUGGAGGUGUCUGUGUUGGAGGUGUGUGUCUGUGUUGGAGGUGUGUGUCUGUGUUGGAGGUAUCAGUGUUGGAGGUGUCUGUGUUGGAGGUGUCUGUGUUGGAGGUGUCUGUGUUGGAGGUGUCUGUGUGAUGUGUGUCUGUGUUGGAGGUGUCUGUGUGGGGUGUGUCUGUGUUGGAGGUAUCUGUGUUGGAGGUGUCUGUGUUGGAGGUAUCUGUGUUGGAGGUGUCUGUGUUGGAGGUAUCUGUGUUGGAGGUAUCUGUGUUGGAGGUGUCUGUGUUGGAGGUAUCUGUGUUGGAGGUAUCUGUGUUGGAGGUGUGUGUCUGUGUUGGAGGUAUCUGUGUUGGAGGUGUCUGUGUGAUGUGUGUCUGUGUUGGAGGUGUCUGUGUGGGGUGUGUCUGUGUUGGAGGUAUCUGUGUUGGAGGUGUCUGUGUGAUGUGUGUCUGUGUUCGAGGUAUCUGUGUGGGGUGUGUCUGUGUUGGAGGUAUCUGUGUUGGAGGUGUCUGUGUUGGAGGUAUCUGUGUUGGAGGUGUCUGUGUUGGAGGUGUCUGUGUUGGAGGUAUCUGUGUUGGAGGUGUCUGUGUUGGAGGUAUCUGUGUUGGAGGUGUGUGUCUGUGUUGGAGGUAUCUGUGUUGGAGGUGUCUGUGUGAUGUGUGUCUGUGUUGGAGGUAUCUGUGUUGGAGGUGUCUGUGUUGGAGGUAUCUGUGUUGGAGGUGUCUGUGUUGGAGGUAUCUGUGUUGGGUGUGUCUGUGUUGGAGGUAUUUGUGUUGGAGGUAUCUGUGUUGGAGGUGUGUGUCUGUGUUGGAGGUAUCUGUGUUGGAGGUGUCUGUGUGAUGUGUGUCUGUGUUGGAGGUGUCUGUGUGGGGUGUGUCUGUGUUGGAGGUAUCUGUGUUGGAGGUGUCUGUGUGAUGUGUGUCUGUGUUGGAGGUAUCUGUGUGGGGUGUGUCUGUGUUGGAGGUAUCUGUGUUGGAGGUGUCUGUGUUGGAGGUAUCUGUGUUGGAGGUGUCUGUGUUGGAGGUGUCUGUGUUGGAGGUAUCUGUGUUGGAGGUGUCUGUGUUGGUGGUAUCUGUGUUGGAGGUAUCUGUGUUGGAGGUGUGUGUCUGUGUUAGAGGUAUCUGUGUUGGAGGUGUCUGUGUUGGAGGUGUCUGUGUGGGGUGUGUCUGUGUUGGAGGUGUCUGUGUUGGAGGUGUCUGUGUUGGUGGUGUCUGUGUCGGAGGUGUCUGUGUUGGAGGUGUCUGUGUUGGAGGUGUCUGUGUUGGUGGUGUCUGUGUCGGAGGUGUCUGUGUUGGAGGUGUCUGUGUUGGAGGUGUCUGUGUUGGUGGUAUCUGUGUUGGUGGUGUCUGUGUCGGAGGUGUCUGUGUUGGAGGUGUCUGUGUUGGAGGUGUCUGUGUUGGAGGUGUCUGUGUUGGAGCUGUCUGUGUUGGAGGUAUCUGUGUUGGAGCUGUCUGUGUGGGGUGCAGGGCAUAGCAGAACAGAGAGACACCAGAGAGAGACAGAGGGUAACCUGUAUACUGUUGUCUCUCAGCAGGUAUAAUUGAUGUUAGCAUGGCUAGGCCAACAUUACCACUGUCCUGAACCAUGGAUCUGUCUGUGUGAGGCUGUGGUUACUUCAACAGGUAAUUACAAGGCUGCUCCAUGUCACACACACACAGACACACAGACACACACACACACCGCACACUCACAUCACACACACACGUAAGAAAAGCCUCCUCGCGUCACAAAAAAUUGUGGAAGGAGAAAUGAAUACAGGUUCUGACAGGUUUCUGGAGGAGAGGAGAGUGUUUCUACCUGCUGCAGCUUUAAACAGUGUGUGUGUGUGUGUGUGUGUGUGUGUGUGUGUGUGUGUGUGUGUGUGUGUGUGUGUGUGUGUGUGUGUGUGUGUGUGUGUGUGUGUGUGUGUGUGUGUGUGUGUGUGUGUGUGUGUGUGUGUGUGUGUGAGAGACAGAAAGAUAGAGAGGGAGAGUAGAGAGAAAUGGAGGGAGAGAGGUGAAUCAGUGUCUGUCUUCAUCAAAGAUGAGGGUCCCCAGACCGUAGGCCAGGAAACACAGAACACUGAAACUAUGCAGCCGCUUACUGGGAACUCAACACAAACAUUCUAAUGAAACAUUCUCUAUUAGGAGAAAGACAAGGAAGAACGAGAGGUGAGGUUAGAGUAGGAAUAAUUAAGAAAACAGACGGACGGUUGGAGGGC
rnacentral:lncRNA from 1 species